rnacentral:tRNA from 1 species
UAGCUCAGUUCGUAGAGCAUGGUGUUUGCAACGCCAGGGUUGUGGGUUUGAUUCCCAC